rnacentral:rRNA from 1 species
UACGUAGGGGGCAAGCGUUGUCCGGAUUUAUUGGGCGUAAAGAGCUCGUAGGCGGCUUGUUGCGUCGACCGUGAAAACCCGGGGCUCAACUUCGGGCUUGCGGUCGAUACGGGCGGGCUAGAGUUCGGUAGGGGAGACUGGAAUUCCUGGUGUAGCGGUGAAAUGCGCAGAUAUCAGGAGGAACACCGAUGGCGAAGGCAGGUCUCUGGGCUGUAACUGACGCUGAGGAGCGAAAGCAUGGGGAGCGAACAGG